UUUAAAUUUGCUUCUGCAAGCCAACAGGGGAAUGAAACCAAGAGCUACUUUAGUCUGUAAUCUUUUUGUUUUCCUCUGCAUAGAUAAUCUGCCCAAAAUAUCCCUGAAAAAUGAGGGCUGUGUUCACCUUUAAUACUUAAAAAUCACUUGGAGGCAGUUCAAUUGAGCAUGAGUAUGUGUUUGCAAGAAAGUAAAACACAACCAGAAUGGUCACCUUCUUCCCCCGAGUGCGCAGCUUCUGGAGGGAUGCACAUGGAGCAGUGAGGGAGGAAGAGGACACCUGCCUAGCCAGCCAGAUCAGCCGAAUCAACCCUGGUGAUCAAUGGAGUGACAGAUGUUGCAGCCAUAUCGCCCUCAUAUCCUGUCACCUUAUUUGGAAUUGGGUCUCUGCAGUUGUAAUUAGUUAAGUUAAAAUCAGGUCAUAUUGGAUUAGGGUGGGCCCUAAUCCAAUGCCUAGUGUCCUUGUGAGAAGAGAAAACAGAGACACAGACACACAGUGGAGAAAGCCAUGUGAAGACAGAAGCAGAGAUUUGAGUAACGCAUGUAUAAACUAAGGAACACAAAGGAUUUCCAGGACCUCCAAAAAGGAAGUAUGGUGUUGAUGAGCUUGAGUGAGAAAAAAAAUGGAUUUGGGUUAGAAGACUUGGGAUCUUGCACUUACCAGAACCUGAAGCUUUCUGACAAAGGAGAUUGGCAGGACAAAGAGAAGUAUAAGGAGUGAGAUUGUGACCUGAGGAUGUUCGAAAACGGCUCAUCCCUCCCUGGGAAGGAAGUACAAGUGCUGAAUGUGGAGAGGCAAAUAAAAUGGACACACAAGCCUUGACCUCUUGGAGUGAUUAUGAUCAAGAUUAUGAUCAUUGUGACACACAUUAAUCCAGGAAGCAAACAACCAAAUAACUCAUCACCUGUUGGGGAUUCCUUCAGGGAUUUGAGAAGUGCUAGUAAACCACUCACACAAUGAUUUCUCCAGGUGUGAAAACAGAGCUGCAGAGGUGACACUUGGAUGCCCCCUGGCCAGGUGGUGACUAGAGGUCAGAUCUCUUCUCUAGUUGAGUGGUAGUCCAGGUUCCUGGGCUCUUUCCGCCCUGACCUACAGGCCUGACAGAGCCGUCAAAACAUGAGAGCCCUCUUUCUAAUCAUCUCACUUCUUGGAAAAAAUAGAAUGGGUGGUGUUCUAUACUAUCAACAACAGUAAUUCUCAAAUUGCUGCAUAUCAGAAUCAUGUGGACAGUUUUGAAAUACCUAGUGUCCAGACUGCACCCCAGACAAACUAAAUCUAGUGAGGGGCCAUCUGAAACUCCCCAGGUAAUUCCAGUAUGCAGCCAAGAUUGACAAUCCAUGCAGUAGAGACCUGGAGGAAAGUUAAUAAUACAGAUAGCAUUACUGGUCCAGGGAUUAUUACACAGAGAUAUGCCAAUUUUCUUUACAAACAACAGGAGAUACAGGCUCCUAAAGUACCCUCUGCUUUAUGCUUUUCUCUCUGGAAUGCAUGC
rnacentral:lncRNA from 1 species